rnacentral:rRNA from 1 species
AUACGUAGGGGGCAAGCGUUAUCCGGAAUCACUGGGUGUAAAGGGUGCGUAGGCGGUAGGGCAAGUCAGAUGUGAAAACCCGGAGCUCAACUUCGGGAUUGCAUUUGAAACUGUCCUACUAGAGUGCAGGAGAGGAAAGCGGAAUUCCUAGUGUAGCGGUGAAAUGCGUAGAUAUUAGGAAGAACACCAGUGGCGAAGGCGGCUUUCUGGACUGUAACUGACGCUGAGGCACGAAAGCGUGGGUAGCGAACAGGAUUAGAUACCCUGGUAGUCCACGCCGUAAACGAUGAGUGCUAGGUGUCGGGUCCGACAGGACUCGGUGCUGAAGUCAACGCAUUAAGCACUCCACCUGGGGAGUACGUUCGCAAGAAUGAA